rnacentral:rRNA from 1 species
GAUGAACGCUGGCGGCGUGCUUAACACAUGCAAGUCGAACGGAAAGGCCCAAGCUUGCUUGGGUACUCGAGUGGCGAACGGGUGAGUAACACGUGGGUGAUCUGCCCUGCACUUCGGGAUAAGCCUGGGAAACUGGGUCUAAUACCGGAUAGGACGAUGGUUUGGAUGCCAUUGUGGAAAGUUUUUUCGGUGUGGGAUGAGCUCGCGGCCUAUCAGCUUGUUGGUGGGGUAAUGGCCUACCAAGGCGUCGACGGGUAGCCGGCCUGAGAGGGUGUACGGCCACAUUAGGACUGGGAGACAGCCCAGACUCCUGCGGGGGGCAGCAGUGGGGAAUAUUGCACAAUGGGCGCAAGCCUGAUGCAGCGACGCCGCGUGGGGGAUGACGGCCUUCGGGUUGUAAACUCCUUUCGCUAGGGACGAAGCGUUUUUGUGACGGUACCUGGAGAAGAAGCACCGGCUAACUACGUG